rnacentral:rRNA from 1 species
ACGAACGCUGGCGGCGUGCCUAAUACAUGCAAGUCGAACGGUCUUUCUAUGGAAGCUUGCUUCCACUGAGAAGAUAGUGGCGAACGGGUGAGUAACACGUGGGUAACCUGCCCAUAAGAGGGGGAUAACAUCCGGAAACGGGUGCUAAUACCGCAUAGUUUUUCUUGAUCGCAUGAUUGAGAAAGGAAAGAUGGCCUUUGUGCUGUCGCUUAUGGAUGGACCCGCGGCGUAUUAGUUAGUUGGUGAGGUAACGGCUCACCAAGACGAUGAUACGUAGCCGACCUGAGAGGGUGAUCGGCCACAUUGGGACUGAGACACGGCCCAAACUCCUACGGGAGGCAGCAGUAGGGAAUCUUCCGCAAUGGACGAAAGUCUGACGGAGCAACGCCGCGUGAGUGAAGAAAGGUUUUCGGAUCGUAAAACUCUGUUGUCAGAGAAGAACAAGUUGGAGAGUAACUGCUCCAGCCUUGACGGUAUCUGACCAGAAAGCCACGGCUAACUACGUGCCAGCCGCCGC